GGAAUCGUAUAUACCAACAUGACAGCACCGCUUCCCGUCCGCUCAACGAAGUUAAGCAUGAUCGGGCCCAGCUAGUACUAUGGUAGGAGACCACUUUGGAAUCCUUGGUUAUGAUUUUU